UCUCAGCUGGGCCUCAUGGGGGAGUGAUUAAGGUUUGCAAAGACCUUCAAACGAGUGAGCUGGAUAGAUUUCACCUGGGGGAGAAGCCUGCUAACCAGAGGGGAAGGAGGAGAAAACACCUAAGAGACGCCGGGACGGGACAGACAGGAGACAGUGGUGGAAGAGGAGCGGCGUCUCCACAAAGGACAACACACCGUCUGGAUGGCAGAGGAGGCUGGAGUCAAGCUGCAGAGGACAGAGGACGCCCUGCAGACACUUGCAGUUUCUGCCUGAAAAACAAAGACCUGGAGAGGUUUAAUGGUUUUUAAGUUUCUCUGUGGUUUAAACAACAGGUUUCUAGGGGCCUCCCUCCUCUCCUGGUCUUUACUGAACAAGAGUUCAUGAAAAUAAAACACGUUGACAAAAGUAAA